rnacentral:rRNA from 1 species
UAUUGGUCAAUGGGCGCAAGCCUGAAACCAGCCAUCCCGCGUGCAGGAUGACGGCCCUAUGGGUUGUAAACUGCUUUUGUACAGGAAGAAAAAUCUCUACGAGUAGGGAACUGCCGGUACUGUACGAAUAAGCAUCGGCUAACUCCGUGCC